GAUGAACGCUGGCGGUAUGCUUAACACAUGCAAGUCGAACGGACUCUUCGGAGUUAGUGGCGGACGGGUGAGUAACGCGUGAGAAUCUGGCUUUGGGUUCGGGACAACCACUGGAAACGGUGGCUAAUACCGGAUGUGCCGAGAGGUAAAAGAGAAAUUGCCUGAAGAUGAGCUCGCGUCUGAUUAGCUAGUUAGUGAGGUAAAGGCUCACCAAGGCAGCGAUCAGUAGCUGGUCUGAGAGGAUGACCAGCCACACUGGGACUGAGACACGGCCCAGACUCCUACGGGAGGCAGCAGUGGGGAAUUUUCCGCAAUGGGCGAAAGCCUGACGGAGCAAUACCGCGUGAGGGAAGAAGGCUCUUGGGUUGUAAACCUCUUUUCUUAGGGAAGAACAAAAUGACGGUACCUAAGGAAUCAGCAUCGGCUAACUCCGUG
rnacentral:rRNA from 1 species